rnacentral:tRNA from 1 species
GUAUUUAUAUAAAUAGUAUGCUUGAUAAAAAGAUCGUCUUGAUAGGGCGAACCAUGAAAGCCAAUCU